AAGUGGUGUGAAAAAUCUACAAAGGGAGUGAUUUCCUCCUUACUGCCGAUUCAAGGAAAGCUAUUUCUCUCUUAGUAAUUCCAUAAAGUCCAAAGGAAAAUACUCUAAACAUUAUCUAAAAAUUUCAGCCAAAACUGUAGAGAAAGAAAACAUUAUUGUUAAAAUGACUGUGGUUUUUUUUUUCUUUGCUUUUUUACAAAAUCUAUUAGUUGCAGCAUGCCAUGUGCUGAUAUUGACUGUGGUCUGGGAGGUGACACCAGCAUGCACACAGAUGGGGAAGGGGCAGCUGGGGAGGCUUAGGGCAUUUGAUUGGCAGGGAGCCAUGCAAGAGAUGGAUUCUUGCAUUCUUCUGCUAACUGCAGCCAAUUCACACAACCCUGUUUCCCUCCGUUGUGUUCUCUCCCAGUCCUUGCAGUGUUAAUGGACCGUUAGGGAACCUGCAGUCUCUCUCUCUCUCUCUCUUUCCUUUAGGCCACCUGCUUUACUUCCUCCCUUUCUUUUUGUGUGUGUUAUGAUUUGAAAUGUACCCGCCUGGUGACUCCCUGCAGCCCAUCCUCUGUGAAAUGUGAUCUUGCAGGAAGGAGAAUGAAGGAAGGGGCGGAGGCCAUGAGGGAAGGAAUGGGAGUUGGACAGUUUGAAUUUGUGGGGAGCAGCCUCUGGAGCACGUGCUUGUGCGAGACUGACUUGCUUGCCGGGGCUCGCGAGCAGCAGAGCCGACAUGAGCCAAGCAACAUUCAUGGAUGGACAGCCUGAGAGCCUUUUUGUGAGAAGAAAGGCAAUAUCCUGUCUCAAAUAGGUUACAGAUGGAAUUGCAGCUUGGUUCAAAGGAAAUGAGAGUCUACAGGAGGAAGUGGAAAAUGGAUACAAAUUGGAAUUCUUUGACCUGGAUUUCCUUCUAAGAAAGAGAACUGAAGGUCCUCUGGGACCAUCUCAUUAAUUUUUGAUUCUGUUUUUUAUUAUUAUUCACAGAAAUUGAACAUUACGUUUAAGUAAUAAGAACUAAAUUGUUUUCUUCUACUUUCCCUCAUAUCUCUCUCUCUCUCUCUCUCUCUCUCUCUCUCUCUCUCUCUCUCUCUCUCUCUCUCUCUCUCUCUCUCUUUCUCUCUCUCUCUUGCCAUAGUCUGUUAGGGAAAACGAAGAUGUAAUAACCACAUAAUGCUUUAUGGGCUGAUAAUUUGGAGUUUUCUCUCAGAAAGUAGUCUUAGGCCAUCUUUUAGCCACAUAACAUCUCUGAAAUAAAUUUGGUUGAAAGAGAG